rnacentral:lncRNA from 1 species
UAAGGACUUAUUAUUUUCAGGUUGGUUCAAGACAACGCCGCCGAAAGGAAGGCGAAUGGGGUUGAGGGAAAGAGCCGCGCCUUCUCAGUGUCUCUGAAGUCACAAACAUAAGCACUGAUGUAAUCGGCGAAGAUAUUCAGGGGUGGAAACUGAGGCUACUGGUUUCAUCACCUGGAGACAAGUUGAAAGAAACCUCCUGCAGCGUCAGGAACUAUCUCUCUACAUGUGCCUGGGGUUUCCUUCGUGUUUUUGGAACUUUCAAGAUCACUGACGCCUAAUAAACUUUUAACGAAUAUAUUAGCAGUUAAAUGAAUCAGCAAGUAACGAUUUUGUUGAUUCUAAAACUGACGCUGGCGCGAGGAAGUGUUGGAAUUCCAGUGUUACUCUUAAUGUAUUCAACGGUUAAAGACCGAAGUACCACCAGGAGCUUCGAUGUUUUUCAUUCUUCUAGUCCUCAAGAGGUUUUAUCCUAGGUGUCAAGAACUGAGGCUUCUACUUGCUCAAAAAUCACCUGAAAGUAAACUCUCUGAUACAGUUCCUGCAGUAACACAUCCUCUUCACCGGUCGCAAGGAAUUACAUUCUGGCUUUUGAGGAUCCCUCUUGCACAUUCUGACUGGUGUUUAUAUACCUCCGAAGUUCACAUGUAAAGCCAUACCAAGGGAAUGAACUUGUCAUAUAUGACAUCAACACCGGAAGGAUUACCCUUUUUUCUCCUUCAGAUAAAUGGGAGCUAAUCUUCUAACAUUCCUGUACUCUGUCCUGAGGCUUGUUGGUAGGCAGAGCUCUUCAUGCUGUCCUGACUCUAACAGCACCAGCCUGGGUACUUGCUCUUUCUUUUGUAACGAAAACCAAAUACUAUUGAAGAAAAUCUGCACCUGGGACUAGAGAAAUCACAUUUUUUGCUAGUAACACCUAAGAUUAAAAUCUGUU